CGCUACAACACACACACGUAUUCCUCUUUUUGAAAGCCAUAAUAAUAAUUGUGUUGUGUGUGCUUUAAAUUAUAGAUGACAGCAAAGAUGCAACAGUCAACAAAAUUGCGCUGUGGCUCUGUACUUUCUCCCCCUCUUUCUCUCUGUCUUUCUCUAGGCUGUGGCUCUGUACUUUCUCCCCCUCUUUCUCUCUGUCUUUCUCUAGGCUGUGGCUCUGUACCUGCACUCUUUCUGUCUCUGUCGGCGCUGUUCUACUCCCACAUCUCUCCAUCUUCUCCAACGAGGUCCUGCUCUCCUUCUCACACAGCUACUACAUGCAGUGGCUUAACAGAUCUCUUAUACAAGGACUGUGGAAUCUAGUCUUCCUCUUCUCCAACCUCUCCUUAUUCUUCCUGCUGCCCUUUGCCUAAUUCUUCACUGAGUCUGAGGGCUUCACUGGAUCCAAAAAUGUACCUGCUUCAGUGACAGAGAAGACUGGUUAGAAGAUGUGCUUGAGCCAAAUCCCCUGAGUAUUGUUGCCAUGGUAUGAUGAUUGGGAUGAGUUGGCUAAAGCACAUACAUAUCUGGGACAAGGUUAGUGAUAAAGGCAUCAUGUACAGUAAAUGUAUAUAAGAUGUGGUAUACUGUUUCUAUACUCUCUGUACACAGGGUGUGAUGGCUCGUCUGUAUGAGACAGCACUAGUCCUCUUCCUCCUGACCCUGCUGAUACUGGGAAUGGUGUCGGUGGCAUCAGCCAUACAUGAUGAUAAUAUGGCCAAGUCUUUAUGGGCUGCAUAUAUUGCUAUUGACUGUGUCCCGCUCCACCAUCUCACUCAGGCUCCCAUUGGCUAAUGGACUCACAAAGAUUCAGUGACACUUGAACAAGCUAAUGACAUGGGCUUACCAAAGUGAGCUUGCCAAAGAGCAGUGUCUCCAAAUAUUUAUCUGUAGUAAAUUGUCUUUGAAAGAGAGAAGGGGAUUGACCGGUUUGCUGAUGGAUGACUGGUGAUCCUGUUACU